UACGUAGGUGACAAGCGUUGUCCGGAUUUACUGGGCGUAAAGAGCGCGCAGGCGGUCGUUCAAGUCGAGUGUGAAAGCCCCCGGCUCAACUGGGGAGGGUCACUCGAUACUGAUCGACUUGAAGGCAGGAGAGGGAAGCGGAAUUCCCGGUGUAGUGGUGAAAUGCGUAGAUAUCGGGAGGAACACCAGUGGCGAAGGCGGCCUGCUGGGCUUUAACUGACGCUGAGGCUCGAAGCGUGGGAAGCAACAGGG
rnacentral:rRNA from 1 species